GCUCUGCUAGCUCAAUCGGCAGAGCGUCAGACUCUUAAUCUGAAGGUUGCCAGUUCGAUGCUGGCGCAGAGCU